rnacentral:rRNA from 1 species
UGGGCGCAAGCCUGAUGCAGCAACGCCGCGUGAGGGACGAAGGCCUUCGGGUUGUAAACCUCUUUUAGUAGGGAAGAAGCGUCUGGGUUUUCCUGGGAGUGACGGUACCUGCAGAAAAAGCACCGGCUAACUACGUGCCAGCAGCCGCGGUAAUACGUAGGGUGCAAGCGUUGUCCGGAAUUAUUGGGCGUAAAGAGCUCGUAGGCGGUUUGUCGCGUCUGCUGUGAAAACCCGAGGCUCAACCUCGGGCCUGCAGUGGGUACGGGCAGACUAGAGUGCGGUAGGGGAGAUUGGAAUUCCUGGUGUAGCGGUGGAAUGCGCAGAUAUCAGGAGGAACACCAAUGGCGAAGGCAGAUCUCUGGGCCGUAACUGACGCUGAGGAGCGAAAGCAUGGGGAGCGAACAGGAUUAGAUACCCUGGUAGUCCAUGCCGUAAACGUUGGGAACUAGAUGUGGGGACCAUUCCACGGUCUCCGUGUCGCAGCUAACGCAUUAAGUUCCCCGCCUGGGGAGUACGGCCGCAAGGCUAAAACUCAAAGGAAUUGACGGGGGCCCGCACAAGCGGCGGAGCAUGCGGAUUAAUUCGAUGCAACGCGAAGAACCUUACCAAGGCUUGACAUAUACCGGAAACGGCUGGAAACAGUCGCCCCGCAAGGUCGGUAUACAGGUGGUGCAUGGUUGUCGUCAGCUCGUGUCGUGAGAUGCUGGGUUAAGUCCCGCAACGAGCGCAACCCUCGUCCUAUGUUGCCAGCACGUAAUGGUGGGAACUCAUGGGAUACUGCCGGGGUCAACUUGGAGGAAGGUGGGGAUGACGUCAAAUCAUCAUGCCCCUUAUGUCUUGGGCUUCACGCAUGCUACAAUGGCCGGUACAAAGGGCUGCGAUACCGCAAGGUGGAGCGAAUCCCAAAAAGCCGGUCUCAGUUCGGAUUGAGGUCUGCAACUCGACCUCAUGAAGUCGGAGUCGCUAGUAAUCGCAGAUCAGCAACGCUGCGGUGAAUACGUUCCCGGGC